UUGAAUUGAAGAGUUUGAUCAUGGCUCAGAUUGAACGCUGGCGGCAGGCUUAACACAUGCAAGUCGAACGGUAGCAGGAAGAAAGCUUGCUUCUUUGCUGACGAGUGGCGGACGGGUGAGUAAUGCUUGGGAAUCUGGCUUAUGGAGGGGGAUAACUGUGGGAAACUGCAGCUAAUACCGCGUAUUCUCUGAGGAGGAAAGGGUGGGACCUUAGGGCCACCUGCCAUAAGAUGAGCCCAAGUGGGAUUAGGUAGUUGUGGGGUAAAGGCCUACCAAGCCUGCGAUCUCUAGCUGGUCUGAGAGGAGACCAGCCACACUGGAACUGAGACACGGUCCAGACUCCUACGGGAGGCAGCAGUGGGAUAUUGCGCAAUGGGGGGAACCCUGAGCAGCCAUGCCGCGUGAAUGAAGAAGGCCUUCGGGUUGUAAAAGUCUUUCGGUAAUGAGGAAGGGAUGUUGUUAAAUAGAUAGCAUCAUUGACGUUAAUUACAGAAGAAGCACCGGCUAACUCCGUGCCAGCAGCCGCGUAAUACGGAGGGUGCGAGCGUUAAUCGGAAUAACUGGGCGUAAAGGGCACGCAGGCGGACUUUUAAGUGAGAUGUGAAAUCCCCGAGCUUAACUUGGGAACUGCAUUCAGACUGGGAGUCUAGAGUACUUUAGGGAGGGGUAGAAUUCCACGUGUAGCGGUGAAAUGCGUAGAGAUUGGAGGAAUACCGAAGGCGAGGCAGCCCCUUGGGAAUGUACUGACGCUCAUGUGCGAAAGCGUGGGGAGCAAACAGGAUUAGAUACCCUGGUAGUCCACGCUGUAAACGCUGUCGAUUUGGGGAUUGGGCUAUAUGCUUGGUGCCCGAAGCUAACGUGAUAAUCGACCGCCUGGGGAGUACGGCCGCAAGGUUAAACUCAAAUGAAUUGACGGGGGCCCGCACAAGCGGUGGAGCAUGUGGUUUAAUUCGAUGCAACGCGAAGAACCUUACCUACUCUUGACAUCCUAAGAAGAGCUCAGAGAUGAGCUUGUGCCUUCGGGAACUUAGAGACAGGUGCUGCAUGGCUGUCGUCAGCUCGUGUUGUGAAAUGUUGGGUUAAGUCCCGCAACGAGCGCAACCCUUAUCCUUUGUUGCCAGCGAUUCGGUCGGGAACUCAAAGGAGACUGCCAGUGACAAACUGGAGGAAGGUGGGAUGACGUCAAGUCAUCAUGGCCCUUACGAGUAGGGCUACACACGUGCUACAAUGGUGCAUACAGAGGGCAGCGAGAGUGCGAGCUUGAGCGAAUCUCAGAAAGUGCAUCUAAGUCCGGAUUGGAGUCUGCAACUCGACUCCAUGAAGUCGGAAUCGCUAGUAAUCGCAAAUCAGAAUGUUGCGGUGAAUACGUUCCCGGGCCUUGUACACACCGCCCGUCACACCAUGGGAGUGGGUUGUACCAGAAGUAGAUAGCUUACCUUCGGGAGGGCGUUUACCACGGUAUGAUUCAUGACUGGGGUGAAGUCGUAACAAGGUAACCGUAGGGGAACCUGCGGUUGGAUCACCUCCUUACCUAAA
rnacentral:rRNA from 1 species